GACGAACGCUGGCGGCGUGCUUAACACAUGCAAGUCGAGCGGUAAGGCCCUUUCGGGGGUACACGAGCGGCGAACGGGUGAGUAACACGUGGGUGACCUGCCUCAGCUCUGGGAUAAGCCUGGGAAACUGGGUCUAAUACUGGAUACUGACUCCACGGUGCAUGUCGUGGGGUGGAAAGCCUUGUGCGGCUGAGGAUGGGCCCGCGGCCUAUCAGCUUGUUGGUGGGGNGAUGGCCUACCAAGGCGACGACGGGUAGCCGGCCUGAGAGGGCGACGGCCACACUGGGACUGAGACACGGCCCAGACUCCUACGGGAGGCAGCAGUGGGGAAUCUUGCGCAAUGGGCGAAAGCCUGACGCAGCGACGCCGCGUGAGGGAUGACGGCCUGGUGUAAC
rnacentral:rRNA from 1 species